rnacentral:rRNA from 1 species
CACAAGCGGUGGAGCGUGUGGUUUAAUUCGAUGUUACACGAAGAACCUUACCAGGGUUUGACAUGCAGGUGGUAGGAAUCCGAAAGGUGACCGACCCUUCGGGGAGCCUGCACAGGUGCUGCAUGGCUGUCGUCAGCUCGUGUCGUGAGAUGUUCGGUUAAGUCCGCUAACGAGCGCAACCCUCGCCGUGUGUUACAUGUGUCACGCGGGACCGCCGGUCUUAAGCCGGAGGAAGGUGGGGACGACGUCAAAUCAUCAUGCCCUUUAUGUCCUGGGCUACACACGUACUACAAUGGCCGUUACAACGGGAAGCGAAGGAGCAAUCCGGAGCAAAUCCCUUAAAGGCGGUCCCAGUUCAGAUUGUGGGCUGAAACUCGCCCACAUGAAGGCGGAAUUGCUAGUAAUUGCAGAUCAGCAUGCUGCAGUGAAUACGUUCCCGGGCCUU